ACCCUCGUAGCUCAGAUGGAAGAGCUCUAGUCUUCGAAACUAGGAUGGGUAGGUUCGAGUCCUACCGAGGGUGCCA
rnacentral:tRNA from 1 species